CAUUUUAGCAUACAUGUUGACUCUGGCAGCAAUAUGUAUUCUGUACAUUGCCUAGCUCCAUUCCAACCUAUUCAUACAGGAGUGCUGUGCCUGCUUUGGAACUGCCUUGCGCUAUUUUCACAGAUUUGGCAAAACAGACAAGCAUCUCCUAGGACUGACACCAAUAUAACUGAUUCAGCCUUAUAGUAAGAGGAAGAACUUAAAGACUUCUCCAGAUCCUUACCAGUAUUCUGAUGAUUUCUCUCCCACAUCCCUCAGUGUGGAGGGCGAUGGUAGAAUGGCUAAGUGGUUCUGAGCUGCUUCCAGGUUAAACCACAGCACUUCUAUUUGAAAUUGUCUUCCUACUUUAAGUAAUGUUCCUAGUUUAAGUAAUGUUCCUACUGAUAACAUAACCAGUGAAAUUGUUCCAUAUCAAAGAUAAAUAUAUAUUUAUAUAUAUAUAUAUAUAAUUCUACAUAACCUGUUAAUUUUUUGUUGUUGUUGUUUUAAUGAAUAAACAUUUUGGUCUAUAUAUUUGUCAAAGUUUUCUCCUGGCUUUACGAGUCUAACACAUGCAAUCUAUCGGUCACUGAGAGCUCAUUUGCUGCAGUAACGUUCUUUGACUGCUACAAAGAGGGGAGAGGGGGGGGGAUGGACCAGCAAUUUUUUGAAAUGUUAUUCCAUGGCAAAUUUGGCCAAAGAAUAUGCUGUACUUAAACCAUGACUGCAGGAUAGCAUACACAUACCUCAUUGCUUGCAGCAGUUUUUUCAUUUGGCCCUCACUCAUUUUCU
rnacentral:lncRNA from 1 species